GACAGAGGGUGCAAGCGUUGUUCGGAAUCACUGGGCGUAAAGCGUAUGUAGGCGGCGGGAUGUGUUCGAUGUGAAAGCCCUUGGCUUAACUGAGGAAGUGCAUCGAAAACUAUUCUGCUCGAGUGCGAGAGAGGGUGGCGGAAUUCCCAGAGUAGAGGUGAAAUUCGUAGAUACUGGGAGGAACACCUGAGGCGAAGGCGGCCACCUGGCUCGUAACUGACGCUGAGAUACGAAAGCGUGGGUAGCAAACAGG
rnacentral:rRNA from 1 species